UAGCCCAGGCUGGUCUGGAACUCGCUGUGUAGCCCAGGCUGGCCUUGACUUGUGAUCCUCCUUCCUCAUCCUCCCAAGUGCUGAGUUGACAAGUAUAAGCCACCACUCCUGGCUUUUUCUUUACCUUAAUACUUAGUAAACUGUUGUUUUACAGAUUUCUUCUGUUUUAUUUAUUUCCUGCCUAUACUCUUUCAGCAGGUUUUUCUGUUUUAUGACAUCAUACUUACUAAAUAACCAUAAUUUCAAGUUAAAGCAAAAAAAACAGAAGUGACCUUAAAGGGAUAGUGUUUUCUCUGCAGAGGCAGAGGGGAGAUUUGGAUUUCUCAGAUACUACCAGAUGUUUUAUGGCUAUAGAAUCAGGACUAGAUCCAUACCUCUUUAAAGCUCAUUAACACUUGGGUUAACUGAAAGUCAAUGAGGAGUCCAUUAAGUGUGUAGAGAUCUAGAUGUAAGGUAGUGACAUAUUAACUGCUACCUGACUUCUAACUAUUUUUUGUUUUGUUUUGUUGUGGUACUGAGGAUUGAACCAAGGGCCUCACAGACCCUGACUUCCAACUGUUCUCUCUCAUUGGUUUGGAGACUGCUUGGCUUAUGCCUACAUUCUCUGUGGCUAAGGCGCAGUGUACAAUCUCGGGCUUCCGGCUGCUUCUAAGGUAUAAAUAUGGCCGCUUCGGUAGUCUUCGGUCUUUUCGGAGAAGUUUUCUGCUGGUCGCUGCUUGUUCGCUGUGAAUUUGUUUCCUACUUCAAGUAACUUCAUUAAGGAAAGAAGAGGAGCCAAACAUGACUUGUGACAACUAACUACAUGCUUGCCUUGGGGUCUUUUAAAUUAGAGCUGGUAAUGUUUUGUGGGUUUUGACCUUUGGGCUUUAUUUCAUUUUGUGCAAUACUAGGGAUGGAACACAGCUUUUGAAGUAUGAAUUUGAAGCCCUUUGGCACAUUUGCAGCACCAAGUGUGUCUGCCUCUCCUUUGUUACUUAGGAGCAGUAGAUGUGGCUUGGUUGGUAAACAUUAACCCAUAAAAGAUUGGGUUUGAACUCCAGCCCUCUGGAAUCCUCCCUAAAAGUUCAAGUCCAUCAAAUCAGUUUCUUUGGAACUUCUGUAAAUGUAUAGUGCUUAAUGGAUAAAUCUGUGAUCAAACAUGAAUUAAAAUAAAGAUGAACAAACUUG